rnacentral:rRNA from 1 species
GACGAACGCUGGCGGCGUGCCUAAUACAUGCAAGUCGAGCGGACAGACGGGAGCUUGCUCCCUGAUGUUAGCGGCGGACGGGUGAGUAACACGUGGGUAACCUGCCUGUAAGACUGGGAUAACUCCGGGAAACCGGGGCUAAUACCGGAUGGUUGUCUGAACCGCAUGGUUCAGACAUAAAAGGUGGCUUCGGCUACCACUUACAGAUGGACCCGCGGCGCAUUAGCUAGUUGGUGAGGUAACGGCUCACCAAGGCAACGAUGCGUAGCCGACCUGAGAGGGUGAUCGGCCACACUGGGACUGAGACACGGCCCAGACUCCUACGGGAGGCAGCAGUAGGGAAUCUUCCGCAAUGGACGAAAGUCUGACGGAGCAACGCCGAGUGAGUGAUGAAGGUUUUCGGAUCGUAAAGCUCUGUUGUUAGGGAAGAACAAGUGCCGUUCAAAUAGGGCGGCACCUUGACGGUACCUAACCAGAAAGCCACGGCUAACUACGUG